AAUGUUUUGUUAAUUUUUUUUUAAAGGUUCUUGGCAUACAGUAGCUUCUGCAUACUGGGCUAAAAAUCUCAAUAAAACUAACUUAUAUGCUCGUCAAUGUUCACAGAGAGGUGGAGAUCUCUGGAUCAAAGUCUUGGACACAAGAGUAACACUCUCAGGGAAAGCUGUUGUGAACCUCAGAGGACAAUUUACAAUAGUCAAAUAAUUUGUGUGAAAAAGUUGACAUUUAUUGCCUUACUCCUGAAUGUAUUGAAAUGUCACUCUAGUCAGAAAAUAUAAUGGCAAGGGUAUCUCUUACGAAUAAUAAAUGUUUAAAAAUUUAAAAAUAUAA
rnacentral:sRNA from 1 species